rnacentral:rRNA from 1 species
GUGGGGAAUAUUGCACAAUGGAGGAAACUCUGAUGCAGCGACGCCGCGUGAGGGAAGAAGGUCUUCGGAUUGUAAACCUCUGUCUUCGGGGACGAUAAUGACGGUACCCGAGGAGGAAGCCACGGCUAACUACGUGCCAGCAGCCGCGGUAAAACGUAGGUGGCAAGCGUUGUCCGGAAUUACUGGGUGUAAAGGGAGCGCAGGCGGAGCGGCAAGUUGGAAGUGAAAUACAUGGGCUCAACCCAUGAACUGCUUUCAAAACUGUCGGUCUUGAGUGGUGCAGAGGUAGGCGGAAUUCCCGGUGUAGCGGUGGAAUGCGUAGAUAUCGGGAGGAACACCAGUGGCGAAGGCGGCCUGCUGGGCACUAACUGACGCUGAGGCUCGAAAGUAUGGGGAGCAAACAGGAUUAGAAACCCUAGUAGUCC